GCGGACAAAUAUGUAUACCAAGGGCAGAAAAAUACGACCAACAAAAGUGGACAGGUUCAUAGCUAGGAUUUCUAUUUUAAGUAAUAUGGGAUAUACAAUACGAAAGAUCGGUCAAUGUUAAUCGAUAGUUCAGCUAUCUGCUACAAGAUGCACUGCGUCAAGGGAGACCCAGAUCUUACAUGGACGAGGAGAUAUAUUCGGACAAACACAACCCAGGUGACGUCUCGUAGACCAUCUUAGAGAAACACCCGGCAAAGAGAGAACGGGCUAUCGAGGAUAAGGCAAUAUCUAUCGCGCAAAAGUGGUCACGAUGUGUCAUAGCGUGAAAGUUACGACGAAACGAUGGUCGAUCGAAAACACAUAGAAGGAUGCAUCCCUUACCGCAAAACCGAUUCCUUUCUCGUUCUCCAGGCAAUCAUCCUCGCACCUGGUGCCAAUAGACCGGUAAUCCAUGUCUUCGGGCCAGUGUCAGCCGGCUGUUAAGAAGACUGUAUUACGAUCGAUCCCGGCGUCCAGCCUGCGAGAAGGUUACGUUUGUCUCUUCUAAAUCCGCAACGCUGACAUCCUGCACCGCUGUGCGCGAAUAUUUUUAACCGAGGGAGGCACACAGCCGAAAGUACCGGCCAGUUUUUUCGGCCCGAGCAAACCUUCCCCGUAAUCUGUCACCUUUUUCGGGUCCUGCACACGUUCAGUUCGUACGCGUUGUCGCCGAAAGACACG